rnacentral:rRNA from 1 species
ACGGGAGGCAGCAGUGGGGAAUAUUGGGCAAUGGACGAAAGUCUGACCCAGCGACGCCGCGUGAAGGAAGAAGGUCUUCGGAUUGUAAACUUUAGUCAACAGGGAAGAAACAAAUGACGGUACCUGUGGAGGAAGCCACGGCUAACUACGUGCCAGCAGCCGCGGUAAUACGUAGGUGGCAAGCGUUAUCCGGAUUUACUGGGUGUAAAGGGUGUGUAGGCGGGACUGCAAGUCAGAUGUGAAAACUAUGGGCUCAACCCAUAGCCUGCAUUUGAAACUGUAGUUCUUGAGUGUCGGAGAGGUAAACGGAAUUCCCGGUGUAGCGGUGAAAUGCAUAGAUAUCGGGAGGAACACCAGUGGCGAAGGCGGUUUACUGGACGACAACUGACGCUGAGACACGAAAGUAUGGGGAGCAAACAGGAUUAGAUACCCUGGUA